rnacentral:rRNA from 1 species
CGGACGGGUGAGUAAUGUCUGGGAAACUGCCUGAUGGGAGGGGGAUAACUACUGGAAACGGUAGCUAAUACCGCAUAACGUCGCAAGACCAAAGAGGGGGACCUUCGGGCCUCUUGCCAUCAGAUGUGCCCAGAUGGGAUUAGCUAGUAGGUGGGGUAACGGCUCACCUAGGCGACAAUCCCUAGCUGGUCUGAGAGGAUGACCAGCCACACUGGAACUGAGACACGGUCCAGACUCCUACGGGAGGCAGCAUG